UACGUAGGGGGCAAACGUUGUCCGGAAUCACUGGGCGUAAAGGGUGCGUAGGCGGGUUUUUAAGUCAGGGGUGAAAUCCUGGAGCUCAACUCCAGAACUGCCUUUGAUACUGAAGAUCUUGAGUCCGGGAGAGGUGAGUGGAACUGCGAGUGUAGAGGUGAAAUUCGUAGAUAUUCGCAAGAACACCAGUGGCGAAGGCGGCUCACUGGCCCGGUACUGACGCUGAGGCACGAAAGCGUGGGGAGCAAACAGG
rnacentral:rRNA from 1 species